rfam:Oryctolagus cuniculus chromosome 9, whole genome shotgun sequence.
CCAUUGGUUCUAUUCAGAACCAUCAGUAACAACCUCUAAAAGGGCUU